GUGAGGAAUAUUGGGCAAUGGGCGCAAGCCUGACCCAGCCAUGCCGCGUGAAGGAUGAAUGCCCUAUGGGUUGUAAACUUCUUUUGUACGGGACGAAACUCCUGGUCGUGACCGGGAUUGACUGUACCGUGCGAAUAAGCAUCGGCUAACUCCGUGCCAGCAGCCGCGGUAAUACGGAGGAUGCAAGCGUUAUCCGGAUUCAUUGGGUUUAAAGGGUGCGUAGGCGGAAUAAUAAGUCAGUGGUGAAAGCCUGCGGCUUAACCGUAGAAUUGCCAUUGAUACUGUUAUUCUUGAGUAUAGUUGAAGUGGGCGGAAUGUGUAAUGUAGCGGUGAAAUGCUUAGAUAUUACACAGAACACCAAUUGCGAAGGCAGCUCACUAAGCUGUUACUGACGCUGAGGCACGAAAGCGUGGGGAGCAAACAGGAUUAGAAACCCCAGUAGUCC
rnacentral:rRNA from 1 species